GCUGAAGGUCUUACAGUUGAGUUGAACAUCGCAUUUUGAUAUGAUUUGGUAGAACAAUUCUGCAGCAUUAUUCCUAGGCAUCUUUCAGUAACGUAAAAGGAAAGGAAGAAAGAGAACGGCUAUGUCGUUAUUUUUUGCCGUGGCGGUGUGAAGGUUGCCAAGCCAUUUGAGAACCUUAAUGAUUGGCAAGAGGAGUCUCUAAUUCAGGCGAUCUUGUAGUUCUUUUGUUUCUCUUUCCUGACGUUCCUUUUCUUCUCUCUCUUUGUCUACGUGCUCUCUGUGCCAAGGAUGCCGCCUGUUUAAGAGAUUUCCAAAACAGAAUCACACAUCAAUAAAUUCUGGAUUUUCAUAAAAUGGGUUAUUGCAAUCAUGUGAUUAUUUUUUUUUAUUUUGUUUUGUUUUUUUACUAUUGAUUUCUCAAUCAUGUGAUUAUUUCUUGGUUUUGUUUUUUUACCAUUGAUUUCUCCUUCUUUGGACGUUCUCUAUUAUGAGAAUGAAGUUCCAUCGUCAUUGGUUAGGCGUCCGGUGGAGAUAAAUUUGGAGGUGGCCUGUAAAACAAACAAAUAAUGUAAGG